rnacentral:rRNA from 1 species
UGGGGAAUAUUGGGCAAUGGAGGAAACUCUGACCCAGCGACGCCGCGUGCGGGAUGAAGGCCUUCGGGUUGUAAACCGCUUUCAGUAGGGAAGAAGCGAAAGUGGCGGUACCUACAAAAGAAGCACCGGCUAACUAUGUGCCAGCAGCCGCGGUAAUACAUAGGGUGCAAGCGUUGUCCGGAAUUAUUGGGCGUAAAGCGUGCGCAGGCGGCUUUGCAAGUCAGACGUGAAAUCCCCGGGCUUAACCUGGGAAUGGCGUUUGAAACUACGGAGCUGGAGUGUGGCAGAGGGGGGUAGAAUUCCACGUGUAGCAGUGAAAUGCGUAGAUAUGCGGAGGAACACCGAUGGCGAAGGCAAUCCCCUGGGCCUGUACUGACGCUCAUGCACGAAGGCGUGGGGAGCAAACAGG